rnacentral:rRNA from 1 species
AUUGAACGCUGGCGGCAUGCCUUACACAUGCAAGUCGAACGGCAGCACGGGGGCAACCCUGGUGGCGAGUGGCGAACGGGUGAGUAAUGCAUCGGAACGUGCCCAGUAGUGGGGGAUAACCAGUCGAAAGACUGGCUAAUACCGCAUACGACCUACGGGUGAAAGCGGGGGACCGUAAGGCCUCGCGCUAUUGGAGCGGCCGAUGUCUGAUUUGCUAGUUGGCGGGGUAAAGGCCCACCAAGGCGACGAUCAGUAGCGGGUCUGAGAGGAUGAUCCGCCACACUGGAACUGGGACACGGUCCAGACUCCUACGGGAGGCAGCAGUGGGGAAUUUUGGACAAUGGGGGCAACCCUGAUCCAGCCAUGCCGCGUGAGUGAAGAAGGCCUUCGGGUUGUAAAGCUCUUUCGGCCGGGAAGAAAUCGCACGGGCUAAUACCCUGUGUGGAUGACGGUACCGGAAUAAGAAGCACCGGCUAACUACGUGCCAGCCGCCGCGGUAAUAC